rnacentral:lncRNA from 1 species
AGCUACAUCCGUCACCUGACACGGCCCUACCAGGAACAGCCGCGCUCCCGCGGAUUCUGGUGCUGCUCGCGUCCCCGCUCCCCUAUUCCCCUUAUUUUAUUCCUGGCUCCCCUCGUCGAAAGUCUUCCAUUCUUCAAACUAGAUUAUUUAAAAAUGAAAAAGGAAGAAAGGAAAGCGAGGUCAUCUCAUUGCUCUAUCCGCCAAUCAGGAGGCUGAAUGUCAGUUUUGAACUAAAAGCCGCUCCGCUCCUCUUCUAGAUUUGGAAAACAAGCGAAAUUAAACUAAACCGCUGCACGCCUCUGACGCGACAUCUGGACACGGCGCGGCGCUGGCGCUGCCGGAGCUGUCGACCCGGCCUGGCGCCGGACUAGUGUCCCUUUUGAUGAGAAGAAUAAGCCUCAUUCUGAUUCAACAGCAGAGAUCAAAGAAAAGACUUCUGUUUUCUGGCCACCAGAUAUAUGUUAUCUGUGCUUAAAGAAUUGAAAAACACACAUCAAAGGAGAAUUUUCUUGGAAAGAGAGGGUUCAAGCAUCACUGUUAGGUGUGCUGGAAUCCUUUCCCGAGUCAGUACUGCUUUCUAGAAGAAAACCGGGGAGAUCUAUUUGGAAUGUAUCUAACUCCAAAGAAACCAUCAGAGGUAACAGUAGAGACGGGGUUUCACCAUGUUGGCCAGACUGGUCUUGAACUCUCGACCUCGUGAUUCGCCCGCCUCGGCCUCCCAAAGUGCUGGGAUUACAGGUGUGAGACACCACACCCGGCGGAUAGAGAGAAUUUUGACAGAUUGGCUUCUCUCACAUGGCAAGAAACAUUGCUGCUAGCACUUCCCGAGUUCUACGUUCUACAACAUCCACCACUGCUAUGUCUCACAGUCCAGACUUGGAGUACAAGUAAUAAGAAGAAUAAAACUUAAUCCCUUAAGUAGAUUCACCAUAAGUUAGCUCAGAGCAAUUCCAGUGCAAGUAUGGUCUGUGAUCCAGUAGUAUCUUACAGACAGCAAGUUGAACAUUGUGGGAUGCAUGAGCUAUUGAGGCCUUUGCAGCUUUCUGCUACAUGGAGGCUAGGGCCAGAGUCAAGAUUUAUGCUUUGCAGCACACUGGUCAGCUGUUUUUGCAAAUCAGAUUAAAUGAUUUUUAAAUGAGGCUGAGAGCAUGGGAGAUACUAAUGUGUGUUUCCUUGUGAGCUACUGCAUAAGUUAGGAAAUUGAAAUACAGAAAGAUGAAAAGUGAUUUGCCCAAGCAUAUAGAUCAAAGCUGUGGCAGAACCAGGACUGGAACCUAUAUCUCUCUACUAAUGGUUUUUUUAAAAAAAUAACCUUGUUUCAAAAAUAUUAAAAAGUCACAAGAAAGGUAAACAUGUGGAUAAACAAAAUGAAGAAAAUAAAAAUUAUCCAGUAAUAACAUAUUGGCAUAUGUCUUUCUGGUAUAUUUUCCUGUGUUGUCAUCAUUAUCAUCUCCAUCAUCAUUAUAUCCAUCAUUAUCAUCAUCAUCAUCAUCAUCAUCAUCAUUAUCAUCACCAUAGUGAACAUGUAAUGCUUACCUAGUGCCAGAUGCUGUCUAGGCAUUUUACAUGUGUUACUGGUAACUCAUGUAAUCCUCAUAACAACCUUAUAAGGUGGUUGCUAUUAUCCCCAUGUUACAUAUGAAGAGACAGAAGCAUAAAGAAGUUGCACCGCUGGUAAUUGGCUGGGAUUUGAACUUAAGCAGUCUAACCUUAGAGUAAUGAUUUUAACAACUAUGCUAUAUACAUACAAAUUUACAAAAUAAAACUGGGCUCAGACAAUAA